GUGUCAGCCGCCGCGGUAAUACAGGGGUCUCGAGCGUUAAUCGGAAUCACUGGGCUUAAAGGGUGCGUAGGCGGGCCUGUAAGUGCCCCGUGAAAUCCCCCGGCUCAACCGGGGAACCGCGGGGCAUACUGCGGGUCUUGAGGCAAGUAGAGGCCGGUGGAACGAUAGGUGGAGCGGUGGAAUGCGUAGAUAUCUAUCGGAACGCCGAAGGUGAAGACAGCCGGCUGGGCUUUGCCUGACGCUGAGGCACGAAAGCGUGGGGAGCAAACCGGAUUAGAAACCCCCGUAGUCC
rnacentral:rRNA from 1 species